GGCUGCAAUUCGCCUUCAUGAAGCCGGAAUUGCUAGUAAUGGCAGGUCAGCAUACUGCCGUGAAUACGUUCCCGGGCCCUUGUACACACCGCCCGUCACACCAUGAGAGUUGGGGAUACCCGAAGCCUGUGAGCUAACUUAUAGAGGCAGCAGUCGAAGGUAGAAUCAAUGAUUGGGGUGAAGUCGUAACAAGGUAAC
rnacentral:rRNA from 1 species